rnacentral:lncRNA from 1 species
UAUUGUGUGGGUAAUCCUUGAGUUGGAGAUCCUCUUGAGAGAAGGUAAUUGGAAUGUGAGACCAUCUUGACUUGAUGAAGGGUCCUUGCACCCCAACGUGCUGUACCCUUCUCUGUGCUUCUUUCUUCUGCUUCUUGUUGGCUGGCUCUGAGCAUGAACCACCUGUUAUCAGGAGUACCAGCUUCGGAGCCGAAGCAGCUCCGGCUUGAUCGUUGAACGAAGCCAUCAACUCAAAAAAGUGGAAGUGAGUUCACCGGAGGUGGGCGCCAAUGUUGGGGACUUGUUCUCAAAUGCUAUGAAUUAAGAACAAGGCAACAUAAAAUGUUAAAUUUCAAUGCCCUUCGUCCGCUGAAGCAUUAUUUCCCCAAGGAUGCACUUCGGACGAAGGUUAUAAUGGCAGAAUUACGAAGGUUAUACCUUAAUAAUUCAACUCACAGAGAUAAUAUAAAAUAACGUAAAACAUAAGGCAUUAAAGACAAGUAAAUUGGAGAUAAAUAGCAUCAUUUAUAUACUAUAAAUUUAAGAUGUUCAAACGUAAUAUUUAGACACAUUUAUACCUCUGCCUUGACAAAGGGUAAUUUCCGAGUGAUGCAAUUGCAAUUACAGGGAUGCGUGAACAGUAAAGGAAUACUGUUCACUAUCUAUAGGCACAGGACACAGCCCGUGAGGAAUUACAAUCGUACCCCUCGUAAAAGUUUACAACAAUGACUCAGACUCUUAUGGACUAAAAGGUCAUUCUAUCUUUAAGUCGGUUUGUAAUUCCGAAGCUUUACGAAAUGGCACCUUCGGCAUCGCGUACGAGCAGCUUCAUCCGAAGCUGUUUCUUUCUGCAGGACCUUCGGCGACGAAGCAUGGUCCCAACAACUAGCAUGUCCGCAUCAGAUAGUGUAAAAUAUAGGAUUUGCACGUUGAUUACAUUGUUUUACAAAGUAAAGUUUAAAAUAAGAAAUGGAAUAGGAUAACUGUUGGAGACGGUCUUUGUUAAGUAUCAUAAUUGGCACCUGGUCAUGACCAGCCCAGACGGUCCGCGAUCACUGAGGCGCUAGAUCACCAGGUACCUUGUCGCCAUAGGCCAUGACGUCGAGACGUGUUACCUCAACGCCAUGAGCCAUGGCGCCAAGUAAAAGAUCCAAAAAUGACAAAGUAAUUUAGAGACCUAAACGUGAAAUUGUUUCGAAAAAAUGUCAGAUUGCAAAAAAAUCGGAGCCUCCACCGCCCUCGCAUCUUAGCUAGGUUAUGGAUCAUCGGUUUUUAUAAUUUGUUAUAGCAUAAAAGGUUUACAUAUUAUUUUUAUGUGUGCGCAUGAGUUGUUCGUGAAAUAGCUAUAUAUGGACACUUUAGACAUUUGUCUUAUAUAUCAAUAAAAAUAUAGAUGAAGCCAUUUUGCCAAACAAUUUGUUGAAAAAAGAUUAGCUUUUAUGGAGGAGCUCCUCCUGCAAAGGAGCCGACCCAGAGCCAUUUUUAGAUGAGUCAAAGCCGUGACAAAUAGGCGUAGUUACACACGGCUCCAUGCUACGCUGAGUGUAUUUGAUUUGCACGAGUAGUGGAUAUUUCAUAACAACUUUGUCUCCCUUGGUGUUAUGUUAUGCUGAGUGUUUCUGUUUUGUAUGUAGUCGAUAUAUACAAAACAAAUACAUGACUCCAUGCUACGCUGAGUAUAACACCAAAGAGUACACAUUUCAUAACAACUCUUGUUCAUCGUUCAUAUUAUUCAUAGUAAUUACAAUAUUAUUUUUUUCUUCGUUCACUUGAAUACAACAAAAAAUUGUAACUUAUACAAAUUAUAUGCUAUAUGUAUCUUAUAUUAUAUAAAAACGGUAUCAUCACAACUCGAUGUAACUUGUUUAAAAACCCCGUAAUGAUAUAUUUACAGUGAUGAUUUAACCUAACACCUCUACACAUGUUUUUAAAUUAAUAUUUUACUUUUCCAAAUGGUCUACGAUGGAUUAAUGAUCUAGAUAAAAAUUAUAGUAUUUGAAAACAACUACAACUCUGUGGUUGUCUACUUUUUUUUAUUCGAGGCCUUACAACUGCUUAGUGGGGUCGUACCAUCAAUAUGGAUAGGGAUAGCAACGAAAAAUUCUGCGUCAGAAAUGUCUCAUCAUUUCCGUUUCUAUAACGGAAAAAAAUUCUCGUGGGGAUCCCCACGAACGCUUGUGAGCGACAUUUCAUCCUUAUACCCGUUUUACGCGAGGAUAAAUUUCCGACGGGGAUCCACGUUCCCGCUUAAAUUAUAAUUAGAACAAAAUUUCUUUGUUGUUAAUGCAUAACAUUGUUACUUAUAAGCAUUGUCAGAUGUAAAAAUAAUUAUAUGUGCAUCAAAAUGAACAUAUUUGUAUCAUGAGUGAUCUCUUGACAAUAUAAUUACAUGUUUUUAUUAUUAACUAUUACAAAAAAAUAGUCAGGUACUAGUUUAACAGCUCCCGCGAGGAACGAGGAUGGGGAAUUUCCCAGUCCCCAUCCGCAUUUACCCAUUAAGGAAGAACUUUUUUCCUUACAUUCCGUGAAGGAAGAAACUUUCUCAUCAUCAUCCCCUAAUGGAUCAAUCAGGACCAUUGCCAUCUUUAAAUAUGGAACUUUGUGUUAGUGAUAUCACAUUGUUUGUUCAUCAGCUUCCAAGCAUAUCCAGACAAUGGAAAGUUUCUUUCGUUUUGUUCUUUUGACAUCUCAAACUAUGCUUGCGUUCUCUGUGUCUUGUAUGUGAUACGUAUUCAUGAUCUAUGAUCGUAUAUGAGUUAGAAAAACUCGUGUCUAGCUACAAUCGACACUGAGUUCAAUUUCAACAUGUAUUUGUUCAUAUCCCCGAUAUCUCAAAUAUGAUUAAGGAUCAUGUUCUAUAUUCAUACAAAUUUGAAUAACUCAUAUUCAGUAGUGAUACAAAAUAUGAUUCAUAUACUUAAUGGAUUAAUUUACUUGCAAUAUAUGGAUAUAUUUAUUAAUAUAUUCCUUAAUAAGUAGCCGAGUAAAAUGCAUUUCCGUCCUUAAACUUGUCGCCCUAUGUCAUCAUAGUCCACAAACCUUUAAAGUAUUUUUGUUAAAUCCUUAAAUAUUGUUUAGGUCUCGAUUAGAUCCAAAAUAGUUCAAAACAGAUCUGGUAACAUUCUUUCCUUCUACGACGGCCUAUGUUGCCAUUGAAAGCACCUAGAUGGGGGGUGAAUAGGUGACCCUGUAAAACGUAAAACUUAAGCCACAAAAUUUGGUUAAGUGUUAGCACAAUAAUCACCAAGUGGCUAGAGAGAAGUCUUAGCAAAACACAAUAACCACAAGAGAACAAUCACAGAGAUGACACAGUGGUUUAUCCCGUGGUUCGGCCAAGACCAACGCUUGCCUACUCCACGUUGUGGCGUCCCAACGGACGAGGGUUGCAAUCAACCCCUCUCAAGCGGUCCAAAGACCCACUUGAAUACCACGGUGUUUUGCUUGCUUUACUAUAUCCCGUUUGCGAGGAAUCUCCACACUUUGGAGCAUCUCGCCCUUACACUUGAAGUUCACAAAGAAGCACGGAGUAAGGGAGGGAUAAGCAACACACUCAAGACAAGAAAUCACAACAACACCACGCACACAAGUCGCAACAAGAGCUCACAACGCAACUCAAUGAGUUCACAACUCAACAAGAGCUCUAAUUGCUAUCGCAAAGAAUCAAAGGCGCGAAAUCGAUAUCUUAGUGCUUAGGAAUGCUUUGAGAAUGCUUGGUGUACUCCUCCAUGCGCCUAGGGGUCCCUUUUAUAGCCCCAAGGCAGCUAGGAGCCGUUGAGAGCAUUCCAGAAAGGCAAAUCUUGCCUUCUGUCGCGUGGCGCACCGGACAGUCCGGUGCACACCGGACACUGUCCGGUGCCCGAUUUCUUUCCUUCUGUGGCGAAGCCGACCGUUGGCAGCCUUGGAGCCGUUGGCGCACCGGACAGUCCGGUGCACACCGGACAGUCCGGUGCCCCUUUUCUAGCCGUUGGCUCGGCCACGUGUCCCGCGCAGAUCGCGCGGCCGACCGUUGGCCCGGCCGACCGUUGGCUCACCGGACAGUCCGGUGCACACCUGACGAUCCGGUGAAUUAUAGUCGUACGUCGCCGGUGAAUUCCCGAGAGCGGCCAGUUCGCUCGAGCCAGCCUGGCGCACCGGACACUGUCCGGUGCACCACCGGACAGUCCGGUGCUCCCAGUCUGAGCAGACUUUGGCUGAACAAAGCCAUCUCCUUUCCAAUUCGAUUUUUUUCUGUUUCCAGCACUUAGACACAACACAUUAGUCCAUAAAAUAAUGUACUAAGUCUAGAAACAUACCUUUUGACAUGAUUUGCACUUUGUCCACCACAUUGCAUAGAUCAACACAAAAGCACUUGCGUUGGCACUCAAUCACCAAAAUACUUAGAAAUGGCCCAAGGGCACAUUUCCCUUUCAAUCUCCCCCUUUUUGGUGAUUUAUGCCAACAUAACAUAAAGCAAGUAGAACAAGUGCAAAAUCACUUCAAAUAAAACUCAAAUUUGUUUUGAAUCAGAUUUGGCAUAUAUGGAUCAUUCUUUGCCACCACUUGGUUUGUUUUUGCAAAUCAACCUCAGAUUCCUAUCUCUAAGUCAAACACACUUGUAAAGACAUAAAGAGAGGUAUUCCAAAAGAAAUUGAUCAAGGAUUUUAAAAACUCCCCCUUUUUCCCAUAAUCAACACUUCUCCCCACAAGAGGCCAACUUUUGAGAAUAAGAGACAAACAAGAGUAUUUUGACAAACAAAAACUCUAACUCUACUUUUUCAAAAUUCUCAAGUGGUAGUUGAUCCAUUUAUUGCUUUGGCCUUUAUUUUCUCCCCCUUUGGUAUCAAGCACCAAAACGGGAUCAAUCUUGGCCCUUUAAUCCCAUUGCCUCACCAAAAUCUUCAACUAAGAGUAAAAAGGCAAUAAGAGUACAUGAGAUGAACUUGGAAUAAGUUACCCUCUCAUCGGAGUGCAGUGGAAGUCUUUCAUGGUCCAAGUCCACCUUUUCCCUUUCAAUCUUUCUUCGAGACUAAAUCAUCAAACUCAAGCACAUGGUUAGUCUCAAAGGGUCAAGUUGUAACACAUCUCCCCCUAAAUAUGUGCAUCACUUUGCAACGGACUUGUGAGGUCCAGGGAGUGUUUGUACAACUUGAGCACCAUAACUAAGCAACAAAAUGCAUAAGGAACAUGAUCAAAGGCAUAAACACAUCUUUGCUAUAAAUCAAUCCAAGUUCCACGAAUCUAAGACAUUUAGCUCACUACGCAACCUGCAAAAGGUCUUCUCAUCUAGAGGCUUGGUAAAGAUAUCGGCUAGCUGGUUCUUGGUGCUAACAUGAAACACUUCGAUAUCUCCCUUUUUCUAGUGGUCUCUCAAAAAGUGAUGCCGGAUGUCUAUGUGCUUUGUGCGGCUGUGUUCAACCGGAUUUUCUGCCAUGCGGAUGGCACUCUCAUUAUCACAUAGGAGUGGGACUUUGCUCAGGUUGUAGCCAAAGUCCCUGAGGGUUUGCCUCAUCCAAAGUAGUUGUGCGCAACACUUUCCUGCGGCAACAUACUCGGCCUCAGCGGUGGAUAGGGCAACAGAGGUCUGUUUCUUAGAAUUCCAUGACACCAGGGACCUUCCUAAGAAUUGGCACGUCCCCGAUGUACUCUUCCUAUCGACCUUACAUCCAGCAUAGUCGAAAUCUGAAUAUCCAAUCAAGUCAAAGGUAGACCCCUUUGGAUACCAGAGCCCGAAGCAAGGCGUAGCAACUAAAUAUCUAAGGAUUCGCUUCACUGCCACUAAGUGACACUCCUUAGGAUCGAAUUGAAAUCUAGCACACAUGCAUACGCUAAGCAUAAUAUCCGGUCUACUAGCAUAUAAAUAAAGUAAAGACCCUAUCAUUGACCGGUAUGCCUUGUGAUCAACGGACUUACCUCAUUUGUUGAGGUCUGUGUGUCCGUCGGUCCCCAUUGGAGUUUUUGCGGGCUUGGCGUUCUUCAUCCCAAACCGCUUUAGCAAGUCUUGCGUGUACUUCGUUUGGGAGAUGAAGGUGCCAUCCUUGAGUUGCUUCACUUGGAACCCAAGGAAGUAGUUCAACUCGCCCAUCAUCGACAUCUCGAAUUUCUGCGUCAUCACCCUGCUAAACUCUUCACAAGACUUUUUAUUAGUAGAACCAAAUAUUAUGUCAUCGACAUAAAUUUGGCACACAAAAAGAUCACCGUCACAAGUCUUAGUGAAAAGAGUUGGAUCGGCUUUUCCAACCUUGAAAGCAUUAGCAAUUAGAAAGUCUCUAAGGCAUUCAUACCACGCUCUUGGGGCUUGCUUAAGUCCAUAGAGCGCCUUAGAGAGCUUACACAUGUGGUCGGGGUACCGUUCAUCCUCGAAGCUAGGGGGUUGCUCUACGUACACCUCCUCCUUGAUUGGCCCGUUGAGGAAAGCGCUCUUCACAUCCAUUUGGAACAACCUGAAAGAAUGGUGAGCGACAUAUGCUAGCAAAAUACGAAUGGACUCUAGCCUAGCCACAGGAGCAAAAGUCUCCUCAAAGUCCAAACCUGCGACUUGGGAAUAACCUUUUGCCACAAGUCGAGCCUUGUUCCUCGUCACCACUCCGUGCUCGUCUUGUUUGUUGCGAAACACCCACUUGGUUCCCACAACAUUUUGCUUAGGACGAGGCACUAGUGUCCAAACUUCAUUCCUCUUGAAGUUGUUGAGCUCCUCUUGCAUGGCCAACACCCAGUCCGGAUCUAGCAAGGCCUCCUCUACCCUGAAGGGCUCAAUAGAAGAGACAAAGGAGUAAUGCUCACAAAAAUUAACUAAUCGAGACCGAGUAGUUACUCCCUUGCUUAUGUCACCCAAAAUCUGGUCGACGGGUGAUCCCUUUGAAUCAUCGCUCGGACUUGAGUUGGAGGUGCCGGUUGUGCUUCUUCCUCCAUUACUUGAUCAUCUUGUGCUCCCCCUUGAUCACAUGCCUCCUGUUCAUCAUCUUGAGUUGGGGGUUGCACCAUUGCUGAGGAAGAAGGUUGAUCUUGCUCCUUUUGUUCUUGUGGUCGUACAUCACCAAUCUCCAUGGUUCGUAUAGCGGCCGUCGGAACAUCUUCUUCAUCUACUUCAUCAAGAUCAACAACUUGCUCUCUUGGAGAGCCAUUAGUCUCAUCAAAUACAACGUCGCUGGAGACUUCAACCAAACCCGAUGAUUUGUUGAAGACCCUAUACGCCUUUGUAUUUGAAUCAUAACCUAACAAAAACCCUUCUAUAGCUUUGGGAGCAAACUUAGAAUUUCUACCCUUCUUCACUAGAAUGUAGCAUUUGCUCCCAAAUACACGAAAGUAAGAUAUAUUGGGUUUGUUACCGGUUAGAAGCUCAUACGACGUCUUCUUGAGGAGGCGAUGAAGGUAGACCCUAUUGAUGGCGUGGCAAGCCAUGUUCACGGCUUCCGACCAAAAACGCUCGGGGGUCUUGAACUCUCCAAGCAUCGUCCUCGCCAUAUCGAUAAGCGUCCUGUUCUUCCUCUCUACCACACCAUUUUGUUGUGGUGUGUAGGGAGCGGAGAACUCGUGCUUGAUCCCUUCCUCCUCAAGGAACUCCUCCACUUGAAGGUUCUUGAACUCGGACCCGUUGUCGCUCCUUAUCUUCUUCACCUUGAGCUCAAACUCAUUUUGAGCUCUCCUUAGGAAGCGCUUGAGGAUCCCUUGGGUUUCAGACUUAUCCUGCAAAAAGAAUACCCAAGUGAAGCGGGAAAAGUCAUCCACAAUAACUAAACCAUACUUACUUCCCCCUAUGCUUAGAUAGGCGACAGGUACGAAGAGGUCCAUAUGUAGCAGCUCCAGGGGUCUUGAUGUGGUCAUCACAUUCUUGCUGUGAUGUGCUCCUCCCACUUGUUUACCUGCCUGACAAGCUGCACAAGGUCUAUCUUUUUUGAAUUGCACAUUAGUUAAUCCUAUCACGUGUUCUCCCUUUAGAAGCUUGUGAAGGUUCUUCAUCCCCACAUGUGCUAAGCGGCGAUGCCACAGCCAGCCCAUGCUAGUCUUAGCAAUUAAGCAUGCAUCUAGACCGGCCUCUUCUUUUGCAAAAUCAACUAAGUAAAGCUUGUCGUCUAAUACACCUUUAAAAGCUAAUGAACCAUCACUUCUUCUAAAGACAGACACAUCUAUGUUUGUGAAUAAACAGUUAUAUCCCAUAUUGCACAAUUGACUAACAGAUAGUAAAUUAUAUCCCAGAGACUCAACUAAGAACACAUUAGAAAUAGAGUGUUCAUUUGAGAUUGCAAUUUUACCUAACCCUUUUACCUUGCCUUGGUUCCCAUCACCGAAUAUUAUUGAAUCUUGGGAAUCCUUGUUCUUGACGUAGGAGGUGAACAUCUUCUUCUCCCCCGUCAUAUGGUUUGUGCAUCCGCUGUCGAUAAUCCAGCUUGAACCCCCGGAUGCAUAAACCUGCAAGGCAAAUUUAGGCUUGGGACUUAGGUACCCAACUCUUGUUGGGUCCUACAAGGUUAGUCACAAUUGUCUUAGGGACCCAAAUGCAAGUUUUAUCACCCUUGCAUUUUGCCCCUAAUUUCCUAGCAACUAUCUUUCUAUCCUUUCUACAAAUAGCAAAGGAAGCAUUUAAAGCAUGAUAAAUUGUAGAAGGACCAUCCAUAACUUUCCUAGAAAUAUGAAUAAUAUUCUUUCUAGGCACAUGAUGAACAUAUCUCCUAGACAUAUCUCUAUCAUGCAUAUAAGAAGAACUAGAAGCAAACAUAGCAUGUGAAUCAUAAGCAUGUGAAUCAUAACUUCUAUAGUUAUUUCUAGCAUGUCUCCUAUUAUGAUACAUAAAAGCAUGGUUCUUUUUAGUACUACAUUCCAUAGGAGCCUUCCCUUUCUCCUUGGCGGGGAUGGGAACCUUAUGGCUUGUUAAGUUCUUGGCUUCCCUCUUGAAGCCAAGUCCAUCCUUAACUGAGGGGUGUCUACCAAUCGUGUAGGCAUCCCUCGCAAAUUUUAGCUUAUCAAAUUCGCUCUUGCUAGUCUUAAGUUGAGCAUUAAGACUAGCCAAUUCAUCAUUAAGUUUGGAAAUUGAAACUAGGUGUUCACUACAAGCAUCAAUGUCAAAAUCUUUACACCUAUUACAAGAUGCAACAAUUUCUACACAAGAUGUUGAUUUACUAGCUAUUUCUAACUUAGCAUUUAAAUCAUCAUUAAUGUUCCUUAAGUUAGAAAUUGUCUCAUAGCAAGAAGAUAAUUCACAAGAAAGCAUUUCAUUUUUUUUAACUUCUAGAGCAUGAGAUUUUUGUGCUUCUACAAAUUUGUCAUGUUCUUCAUACAACAAAUCCUCUUGCUUUUCUAAAAGCCUAUUUUUAUCAUUCAAGGCAUCAAUCAAUUCAUUAAUUUUAUCUACCUUGGUUCUAUCUAGGCCCUUAAAUAAACAUGAAUAAUCUAUUUCAUCCUCAUCACUAGAUUCGUCCUCACUUGAAGAAGCAUAAGUAGAGUUUCGAGUACAUACCUUCUUCUCCCUUGCCAUAAGGCAUGUGUGACGCUCGUUUGGAAAGAGGGAUGACUUGUUGAAGGCGAUGGCGGCGAGUCCUUCAUUGUCGGAGUCAGAAGAGGAGCAAUCUGAAUCCCACUCCUUGCCUAGAUGCGCCUCGCCCUUUGCCUUCUUAUAGUUCUUCUUCUUCUCCCUCUUGUUCCCUUGAUCCUAAUCACUAUCAUUGUCGGGACAGUUAGCAAUAAAAUGACCAAGCUUACCACAUUUGAAGCAUGAGCGCUUCCCCUUUGUCUUGGUCUUGCUUGGCUGCCCCUUGCGACCUUUUAACGUCGUCUUGAAUCUCUUGAUGAUGGGAGCCAUCUCUUCAUCAUUAAGUCCGGCCGCCUCAAUUUGUGCCACCUUGCUAGGUAGCGUUUCCUUGCUUCUUGUUGCCUUGAGAGCAAGGGGUUGAGGCUCAUUGAUUGGACCAUUCAAUGCGUCAUCCACGUAUCUUGCUUCCUUGAUCAUCAUUCGCCUGCUCACGAACUUUCCAAGUAUCUCCUCGGGCGUCAUCUUGGUGUACCUAGGAUUCUCACGAAUAUUGUUCACAAGAUGAGGAUCAAGGACAGUAAAGGACCUUAACAUUAGGCGGACGACGCUGUGGUCCGUCCAUCGCGUGCUUCCAUAGCUUCUUAUCUUGUUGACAAGGGUCUUGAGCCGGUUGUACGUUUGGGUUCGCUCUUCUCCCCUUAUCAUAGCGAAUCUCCCGAGUUCGCCCUCCACCAACUCCAUCUUGGUGAGUGUUGGGGACUUGUUCUCAAAUGCUAGGAGUUAAGAACAAGGCAACAUAAAAAAUGUUAAUCGUUAAAGUCCUUCGCCCCUCGAAGCAUUAUUUCCCUCAGGAUAUAAUGACUUUCGGACGAAGGUUAUGAAGGGCGUACCUUCAUAAAUUCAUUAUACAAUGACGAAGGUUUAAAGGUAAUGAAUAUAAAAGACAACACAAGCAAUUAUUUAUUAUUAUCAGACAUAGACAGAAGUAUCAUUGAAUUACAAGUGUACCUCUGACUGGAAGGAGAUGAUAGUACAAGUGUGACGCAAGAAGCGAAUGCCAAGUCAGCGUGAACAGUACGGGGGUUCUGUUCACCUAUUUAUAGGCACGGGACACAGCCCAUACAAAAUUACAUUCAUGCCCUUUACAUUUGAUAAUAAUUCUAUAGUAAUCUAUCGAGGUCUGAAUAGCCUUUUCAUCUUUAAGUCGGUUUCAUUUUCUGCAACCACGCCGAAGCUUUCCUGCUAACAUCUUCGGCGCCUUCGUAUUAUCCUGGUCUUCUCCUGUCGUGAUACCGACUCGAGUCCGAAGGUACCUGUUCACACAUUAUACUUCUAGAAAUACUGUUAAAUCCUAUUUUUUGAGGACCUUCGGAUGCCGAAGGUCCCCAACAGUGAGCAUUGUGACGUCAUUCCCCUCAUGAGAGAUCUUGAGGGUGUCCCAAAUUUGCUUGGCGUUAUCCAAGCCGCUCACUUUGUGGUAUUCAUCCCCGCACAAUGAAGCUAAAAGAACAGUAGUAGCUUGUGCAUUUUUAUGAAUUUGCUCAUUAAUGAACAUGGUACUAUCCGUACUAUCAAAGUGCAUUCCACUCUCUAUGAUCUCCCAUAUACUAGGAUGGAGAGAGAACAAGUGACUACGCAUUUUGUGACUCCAAAAUCCGUAGUCCUCUCCAUCAAAAUGGGGAGGUUUACCAAGUGGAAUAGAUAGUAAAUGAGCAUUUGUACUUUGAGGAAUACGAGAGUAAUCAAAAGAAAAGUUCGAAUUGACCGUUUUCUUUUUCUCGUAGUCGUCGUCGUCCUUUUGGGAAGAGGAAGAUUCGUCACUGUCGUAGUAGACGAUCUCCUUGAUGCGCAUUGUCUUCUUCUUCUUCCCAUCUUUGCGCUUGUGGCCCGAGCCCGAGUCGGUAGGCUUGUCAUCCUUCGGCUCGUUGAAGAUAGACUCCUUCUCGUUGUUGUUGACCACCAUCCCCUUUCCCUUAGGAUCCAUCUCUUCGGGCGAUUAGUCCCUUCUUGGAAAGAACGGCUCCGAUACCAAUUGAGAGCACCUAGAGGGGGGGUGAAUAGGUGACCCUGUAAAACUUAAAACUUAAGCCACAAAACUUGGUUAAGUGUUAGCACAAUAAUCACCAAGUGGCUAGAGAGAAGUCUUAGCAAAACACAAUAACCACAAGAGAACAAUCACAGAGAUGACACAGUGGUUUAUCCCGUGGUUCGGCCAAGACCAACGCUUGCCUACUCCAUGUUGUGGCGUCCCAACGGACGAGGGUUGCAAUCAACCCCUCUCAAGCGGUCCAAAGACCCACUUGAAUACCACGGUGUUUUGCUUGCUUUACUAUAUCCCGUUUGCGAGGAAUCUCCACACUUUGGAGCCUCUCGCCCUUACACUUGAAGUUCACAAAGAAGCACGGAGUAAGGGAGGGAUAAGCAACACACUCAAGACAAGAAAUCACAGCAACACCACGCACACAAGUCGCAACAAGAGCUCACAACGCAACUCAAUGAGUUCACAACUCAACAAGAGCUCUAAUUACUAUCGCAAAGAAUCAAAGGCGCGGAAUCGAUGUCUUAGUGCUUAGGAAUGCUUUGAGAAUGCUUGGUGUACUCCUCCAUGCGCCUAGGGGUCCCUUUUAUAGCCCCAAGGCAGCUAGGAGCCGUUGAGAGCAUUCCAGGAAGGCAAAUCUUGCCUUCUGUCGCGUGGCGCACCGGACACUGUCCGGUGCCCGAUUUCUUUCCUUCUGUGGCGAAGCCGACCGUUGGCAGCCUUGGAGCCGUUGGCGCACCGGACAGUCCGGUGCCCCUUUUCUAGCCGUUGGCUCGGCCACAUGUCCCGCGCAGAUCGCGCGGCCGACCGUUGGCUCACCGGACAGUUCGGUGAAUUAUAGCCGUACGUCGCCGGUGAAUUCCCGAGAGCGGCCAGUUCGCUCGAGCCAGCCUGGCGCACCGGACACUGUCCGGUGCACCACCGGACAGUCCGGUGCUCCCAGUCUGAGCAGACUUUGGCUGAACAAAGCCAUCUCCUUUCCAAUUCGAUUUUUUCUGUUUCCAGCACUUAGACACAACACAUUAGUCCAUAAAAUAAUGUACUAAGUCUAGAAACAUACCUUUUGACAUGAUUUGCACUUUGUCCACCACAUUGCAUAGAUCAACACAAAAGCACUUGCGUUGGCACUCAAUCACCAAAAUACUUAGAAAUGGCCCAAGGGCACAUUUCCCUUUCAGCCAUGCCGACGAUAUGGGGCCUAAAAGGGAGAUGUGCGCUUAGGCCAUUGCAAGUUAUUUUAAUGAUUAAAUGUCCAACACACCACUCUGAACAAACUAUAUCGAUAAGAGCAUGAGCACAUGUGUAAAGAAAGCAAAUUGAAAAUAUCAAGUUCAAAAAAACACAAACAUGGACGCUGCGGAGGCCGUCAUGCCUGCAAGCGUGGACGCGUCACCAAGGCCAUGAUGGAGGUGUUUGAUGCCAUGCACGACCUCGGGUGUGAGCCAACCAUCCACACCUACACCAGCCUUGUCGGGAGGCUCUACUACGCUGCAAGCUCGUCUUGAACACGUAACCCCUUCACAUGUUGGCUCGACGGUAAGGGGAGGCUUGGUGAGGAGCUUCGCAUUGGAAGGUACUGGAAAUAACAAGAGCUUGAGGAGAGGGCAUCUGUGGCAUGGUCCUCCUCCUCGUCCUUCUGUAGGGGUGCCUUCACCUGGCUACACAAGAGUGCCUCCCUAGAGCCCAGCGUGUGUCUAUGCCUAGGUCUCUGCCACGGUGGUGUUCUUAGAAAGGCGGAAGAAGACAGCUCCGGCAAGGGCUCGGAGGCCAACAACAGGGAAAGACAGCCAUGUCAUUCUCAAGCAUGGGGGAUGAGGGAGAAGAGUGGGUGAGGUCAAAUAGACCAUGAAGAUGGCAUGAGGGCCCAAUUCUGGCCCUGAGGUUUGUUGAGAGGAAGGGGUUACUCUAGUUUGGUUUUCUUGUACCUAUUUGGAUUUAACUAAGAACCAAACAAUAUUUGAGGGUUUAAGAGACAUACUUUAAAAGUUUAUAGACCAAAAUGACAUAGAGCAUCAAGUUUAAUGAUCGAAAAUGUAUUUUACUCAUAAGUAACUCUUGCUGGAUUUAGUUCCAAAUUCCGCCACUACUGCCACGAAGACGCCUCUGUCGAUGCAACCUCAAUAUGUAGUUCCUGCCAGUGGCGGACGCAGGAUAAAAAUGUAGGUGGGCCAUACAGUAAGAUGUGAAUCACUAGAUUGGACUAUUAGAUAAAAAAGAUUCAUAAUAAUAAUAUUUACGGUGGCUAAGUGAUAAUAAUAGAAGUGUUCUAAAAUGACAUGAAUAUCAAAAAACCCUUUUUGGUCAUCCUAAAUGAGAGUUGGAGAGGGCAAAGAGGCAAGCCGGUGGUGGAGGUGUGCUGGGGCAGAGCGGCCGCUUCGGUGCGUUAGUGUGGCGUGUCACGUAUCAUUGAGUCCAAUGUGAAACGGUGACGAUGAGAUGACAACGGGCGAGGUUUAGCGAGGGCAGGCGGGGGUUAAUAAGGUCAAGCGAUGAUGUGGUGGUACAUGGCGGCGACAGCAAGUGGCAGCCAUUGCCGCGUUGCAAAGGCAUAGUGAGACCCAAUGAGAUAGUGAUCGUAGGUGGCAUCAUGGUGCCAAGGCAAGAUCCUACCGAUAGCCUACCCAUCUACUGGUGCAGACUAAAAGGGAAGGUAGCGACACUGCGUGCAAGAUCUUGAUGAGGCUUUAUUUUGGUACUCUAGUAUCCAUCCUGAUCCACAUGUAUUGAGGUGGAUUAGGCUGUAAUAAUUUACACCUCAAUACAUGUGGGUUGGCGUGAAUACUAGAGUACCCAUACAAAGCAUGAGAUGACAAGCUGACAAGUGACGAGGAGGUAAGGUGGCACUGGUAGCGGGCGAGUUAGGUCACCCAACUUAUCAUUCGAUGACUGAAGGAGCGAGCGAACAGUGAGUGAGCUAGCGCUAGAGGAAGGAAUCGAAUGGCUCAGGUGGGAAGUGGGUAGCGAGCGAACAGUGAGUGAGCUAGCGCUAGAGGAAGGAAUCGAAUGGCUCAGGUGGGAAGUGGGUUGAGCAGUGGAGCGUCGAGAAAAAUUAAAUCAAAGCCAAGUUUUUAUUAAAUUUGGCCCAACUUACUAUAUAAAAUAUUGAUUAUUUUAUUGUAUAUCUAAACCUAGGUAUAAAAGAUUACAAAAAUUGAGGUGGGGCCAUGCCCCCAUUGCCCCACCCCCAGAUACGCUCGUGGUUCAUGCAGACAACGAACUUUGGGUAUCACUCCAUUAGUUGAUGAGAUACUGCCAUGUAGCCACAUGAAGAGUCGUCGACGACAAAUUUUGUCCAGCACAUCACAUUAAUGCUAAGAGCAAAUUUAAUAAUAUAGCUAAUUGUUGACUAUAAAGACCUUUGCAGCCUAUCUUAUAUUCAAUAUUUAUUAUGGUUAGCACUUUACAAUUAAUAUAUAGUCCACUUGUGUCUUAUAAAAUUUCUUAGUUUCCAUGUAUAAGAUGGUUGUUAGUUCUUAGCCCGCUUCUACUCUCUCCUCCUAUCCCUCUUCCAUGUCAGCAUUUAACCAGUUUAUAGCCAGCUAUUAGAGCAAGGCUAAUAAUGUAGCCGAGUGUUGCCCGCCUAAACUGUUGAAGCGGGGACGGAGGGUCCAGUAUGUCUCGGUAUUGUUGGACAAUACUUUGACCCAGCCCAAGAAGAUACUAAUAGAAAAAAGAAAUAUUAUCUCUAAACCCUAACACAUCUCCAACAUUAUGGUUGACAUGUAGGCCUUCGCGCUCCGCCCCUACGUUGAAGCCAACCUCUUAGUCUACGUGUAUAAUAGUUGGCCCUUCGUUAUUAAUGUUUGUUCUACUUAUCUCUCUCACAAGCUUUAUUGGUUCUCGUGUUUCAAUUGGUUGUGAGUUUACAAAAAAAAUUCUCCUCUCUCAUCAACUCAACAUUUAGGUCUGUUUGGUUGGGCUGUGACUAUGAAAAAAAACUGUUAUGGGCUAUGAACUGCUAAAAAGCUAAAAAAUCAUUUGAUGAAAAUCACUAAAAGCUACUAAAAAUCAUUUCAUAUAUGUUUUCAUAGUUUCACCUGAAAGCCGCUAAAAACAUGUUCAAAGGUGCUUUCAGUUUUACACUAUAAUGAAGUCAGCUUUUAAAAAGAAAAAAAUUGUCUUCUCCGUUGAGUCACUUGGUUUGGCUUUUAGCUUUUAGUGAACCCAACUACAGAAGAUCAAAAAUCAAACCAAACACACAUUUAAUCUUGUUACAGACUAUUAUUAUACUUGCUCGUAUUAACUUUAUCUUUCUUUAUAGCCCUGUGCAGAUCUGUUGUCACAAAGCCCGAAACUGUGAUUCGUUGCUCUGGUGUCGGCAGAUCGGCAAGUGCAGCGUGGCGCAUGCAGGCUUUAUUUUACUGUUUACUAUAUAUUAUACGCACGCACUGCCGCCAUAUAUAUGCAGCCGUGUGAACAGCGAUGCAGCGCGAUUCAUAUCAAUCUCUCGUUUUGUCUCUAUUACUCCCUCCGUUUUUUUUAUUAGUCGCUGGAUAGUGCAAAAUUGCACUAUCCAGCGACUAAUAAAAAGAAACGGAGGGAGUAGCUGUUAGCUGGAUGUCCACGUAUUAAUCUUAAUGUAUGUGCAAUGCAGCGAGAUGGUUCAAAAUAAGUAAAUUUCAUAUCAAUCUACCCUAACAUACAUAUUAAGGUCGAGAUAUAAAUAUCCACACAAGAUCUAAGAGUUUGUUUGAUAUUUAUGUAUUAGUCUUAAUCCAUAUAUAUUGAAUUAAAUUAGUUUAAAUUUUAUAUCAAACUAUCACAACAUAAUUCAUUCCAUGGAGACCUGCAUGUAUUUGAAAAAAUAUAAGCUUUCAGGUUGUGGUACAUCUAAAGUAUGUUUGUUAAAACAACUGUCAACUCUAGAUUUUAUAAGAGCAUGAUAGUUUGAUAAUAUGGAUAACAAUAAUAUGAAAAAAAUAAGAUAGAAGAUGUUUUUGAAUUGAACUAAAGGAGUAUGUAGAUUUUUAGAAAAUUAUUUUGUUGUUAUACUUGUUUGGCUGAGAUUUACUUUUCUGCAGCGAUUCGGAAUCAAAACGCUGAACAAAAUUGUCGUGGUUUCGGAAACCGGGGGACAAUAGAUUUGUGUUUGAAGGGGUAUGCAAGUGUGGACUCGCUCCGAAGUGGAUCACGAGGAUCUGAGCGAGAAACUGAGACACUGGGGUUAUACUGGUUCAGACUUUCACCCUCGCCUAAUGUAGUGUUGAUCGUAGUAUUGCUUUGAGGUGUGUUACAACAUGUGUGCUUGUGUGUGAACAAGGGGAGAUAGACUCCCUUUUAUACUUCAAGGGACAAUCUUUACAUGAGAGAGAGAGAGAGUCCUGCAACUAAUGCCUUGUGCGAUAGUGUGCGGCGGGCCCCCUUUGGGUCAGUCUCAAGGCGUGCCAGCAUAAAGCAUGGCUCCUUCUCACGGUCGUGUGUUGCCAUACUCUUGGUAUGACGUUCUGUCUCGUCCGUCCGACAUACGAGCUCCUGUAGCUUGCUCUACGCCUACGUUGUCGUACCUGAUGGGUCCCGUAAAAUGUGCCCACGGUAAGGUUGAGGUUCGCGUUCAGUAGGACUUCAUCUUCUGUCAAUGCUCUUGCAUCACCCUCCAGCAUGCACGAGUAUGAACUAGGCGUGUUGUCAUGUCCUUUCUUCUACGUGGUCGUUACUGUGGUGACUUUGUCGCCGUGGUCCCGCUUGGCAUUGUACAUAUGGCCCGAACAUAGUUUGGUAAUGAUGUGUCCGGUCACGACCGUCGUGGGCCAACAACGCCGACCUGGGUUCCUUCCUUGCGGGUCUUCUUGGCGUGAUCUUGGUCGUACGCCCCGUCUCGUCGGAUUGCUCGGCGGAGACUUGGUCGUUCGCCCCGCCUCGCAGACUUACUCGAUGGUUCACCCCGCCUCGCAGACUUGCUCGAUGGAGACUUGGUCGUAGGCCCUCAUUGCAAGCUUGGCCGACAAAUAAACUAGAAAGAGGUUUAUGGGUCUAGCCAUAGGUAUAGGUACAUUUGGGGGGGGGGGGGGCUGAUGGGUUGUCCCGAUGUAUGAAAAAAGCACGAUCCAGACACGAAACGAUCCGAAGUAUUUUUAGUGUCGGACCGACACGACCCGAUAUAUUGGGCCGAGUUUGGACCAGGGUCGCGACUCAUGGGCGGGCACGAACUUGGCUCGUUUAAGGCACGCACGAAAUAGCCAUAUAUAGGCACAAAAAGGCCCUUAUAUUCAUUAAAACCACGCUUCAUUCCACAUUUUUAUGUACUUGAUAAAGAACACAAAACUAGAGAUGAUGCUAGUUAGACAUUGUUUGCAGUUUUGAAUUAGAGUAUGUGAUGUAAUUUUACUUUUGUUAUAAACAUUAGAUAAUAAAUUGAACUUAUGAAUUAUGUAUAGAGCUGAUUCUACCCAUUUUUCUUCUAACAAAAUGAUUUUUAAACGGGGUAGUCAUUGCAUAGUUGUGGUAACUUAAUACAAAUAUUAAGUUUGCUUUUGGUCAAAUUUAUUUGUCUUAUAUUUUAUUUGUUCUAUUAAAUUUGUUUUGAAUUUCGGGCAAAAAAUUGAAUUUCAGCCUUUUUAUAAUUUCAUCCCGUCCGAAAUGAGCCCGGUAAGUUUAACCAAUUAUGUGCCAAGUCAUGGGCUGGUCCGGCUCGUCCUAAAUUCAAACGGGCCGGCCCAGCCCAAAAUUUAACGGACCAACCCUUUUUAGGCUUGGGUCGGAUCGGGCGAUCCGAAUAUACACAUAUAACUAUAGUUACUCGUUUCUGGGUACUCGACAAACAUGCACUCUAAAUCUUUCAACUAAUAAAUUAGCCAAAUUAAUAAUCUUUUUAGUUUGCAUGCUAGAUAUUUAGAUUCAUAUAAAAAUAUAAAAGUACUUUAAGGUGGAAUUUUUUUAUUGAUAAUAUAAUAGGAAAAAUAUGAAUGUUCAAAGUUUUGCUUUAAGGACGAUACCAAAAAAUUAUACGUUGUAAUUAAUGGUCUAGACAGAGUAAGACAGAUAUAUGGACAUGUAUAUCCAAGAGAGCGAUUCCUCCGUUGUAUUAUAUAAUCUAGGUAGAUUAUAAUUUCAAACAAACUCUAUAAUUCUUUAAUCACGAUCUAGCCUAGUUGGGCACGGAUUCGCGCAUUGGCCGGGCAAAAAAUUAACCAGCAAAUCGGAGCAGGCCCAUGUGACCAGACCAUAAUCAACCAUCCGCCACGCACUUCAUGCGCUGCAGCUGCUAGGGCAACCAGCUUGUCUGUUUCCAAUAAGCUAGCCGCCGGCUAAACGAGGACAGACACGCCGUGCUUGCUAAAUAUAUGUCACUUCCGAAGCAGCUGCCCACACAACGAAGUCACAUGCCACUGUGCUCCACUACUACUGGGCGCGCGGUCAUGGGAUCACUGGCGACGGCGGAGGGGCAGCGGCCGCACGCCGUGUGCAUGCCGUACCCGGCGCAGGGACACGUGACGCCCAUGCUCAAGCUCGCCAAGCUCCUCCACGCGCGGGGCUUCCAGAUCACCUUCGUCAACACCGAGUUCAACCACCGCCGCCUGCUCCACUCGCGCGGGCCCGACGCGCUCGACCGCGUGCCCGGGUUCCGCUUCGACGCCAUUCCCGACGGCCUCCCGCCGUCCGACGCCGACGCCACGCAGGACAUCCCCGCGCUCUGCUACUCCACCAUGACCACCUGCCUCCCGCACCUCCUCGCGCUCCUCGCCAGGGUCGACGCCGACGCCGGGUCCCCGCCGGUCACCUGCCUCGUCGUGGACGCCGUCAUGUCGUUCGGCUUCGACGCCGCCAGAGAGAUCGGCGUGCCCGUCGCCGCGCUCUGGACCGCCAGCGCCUGCGGGUUCAUGGGCUACCGGAACUACAGAAACCUCAUCGACUGGGGCCUCGUGCCAUUCAAGAGCGCCGCGGACCUCCAGGACAACGUCGGCGGCGGCCACCUCGCCACCGUGGUCACCGGCGCGCGCGGCAUGUGCGACGGCGUGCAGCUGCGCGACUUCCCCAACUUCAUCCGCACCACGGACCGCGCGGACUUCAUGUUCAACUUCCUCAUGCGCGAGUCCGAGCGGCUGUCGCUCCCCGACGGCGUCAUCGUCAACACCUUCGAGGACCUCGAGGGCGCCACGCUGGACGCCAUGCGCGCUAUCCUCCCGACGGUGUACCCCGUCGGCCCGCUCCUCCUCCGCGAGCGCCUGGAGAUCCCCGCUAGCAGCCCGCUCGCGGGCCUCGGCUCCAACCUCUGGAAGGAGGAGGAAGGCCUCCUGAAGUGGCUCGCUGGCCGCGCGCCGCGGUCCGUGGUGUACGUGAACUACGGCAGUAUCACGGUGAUGACCAACUCGCAGUUGCUCGAGUUCGCGUGGGGUCUGGCCAACAGCGGGUACCCGUUCGUGUGGAACAUCCGGCCGGACCUGGUGAAGGGCGACUCCGCCGUGCUGCCGCCGGAGUUCGCGUCCGCCGUCGAGGGCCGCGCGUUGCUGACGACGUGGUGCCCGCAGGAGGCGGCGAUCCAGCAUGAGGCGGUCGGGGUGUUCCUGACUCACUCCGGCUGGAACUCCACCCUGGAGAGCCUCUGCGCGGGGGUGCCCAUGCUGAGCUGGCCCUUCUUCGCGGAGCAGCAGACCAACUGCCGGUACAAGCGGACGGAGUGGGGAGUCGGGAUGGAGAUCGGCGGCGAGGUGCGGCGCGACGAGGUGACGGUCGUUCUAAAGGAGGCCAUGGACGGGGAGAAGGGGAGGGAGAUGCGCCGGCGCGCAGAGGAGUGGAAGGAGAAGGCCGUGAAGGUGACGCUGCCGGGUGGGCCUGCGGAGACUAACCUCGAGAGGGUCAUCCACGAGGUGCUGCUCUCCCAGAAAAAGGGAUAGACUGCCAACGCGUGAUCGUCGUGGACUCGUGGGGAGUAUCAUGUUCGCGAGCAUCAUGCCUUGCCCCUCGCUUUGCUGUGUUUUCUUAUUUACGUGUGUUAGCUUUGAAUAAUUAAUUAUCUCAACUUUCAGCUCUCAAAUGACAAACCUCAAACCCCAGCUCUCCGCUGAAAGGUUGUACUAAUAUUUUUAUCAUAACAUUUUUUUUACUAGUUUCAGUGAGUGGUGGUUUCAAAAUUUUGCAACAUUGAACUAUAGCCAGGCUCCGUCACUACGCAGAGUAAGGGGAAUUUACUAUGUUCGGCUGCCUGCAGCCGUAGCUGUUUAGAGUGACGCAAUUAUAAUUCAUAGACUACAUUCAGAUUAAAGCCGCAACAUAUCGCAGCGAACAAGCAUUCAACAAACAUUCAGAAAAAGAACUGUUUGAUGUGUCAACACAAGUUUGAGGGUUCCCUUCCCUUUCUGCCAAGGCCAUCAGAAGCCUUGGGGAAAGAUUUUGCAACCUGUCAGAAGCACACCUGUCAGAUAAAGCUCUAAAGAAGAAGAAGAAUCCUUCUGGCUGUGUUGGCCCCAAUAAGCUAGGGAAAAGUGACAAGGAGGGUAAUAAACAAGAUUCCACAUAUGAAGACAACUAAUUUGAUGGUGCUGCUCCGGGUGUGGGGAUUUUGCAGGACUUCUCUUCGCCAGACUUUUUGGCUGUUUCGGCCCUGGCGUUUUUGGCUGGUUGUUGUGGUGACAAACUUUGUGAUUUCUGGUUGAGCUGUGUCCUGUGCUAACAGAUACUCUUUUGUCCACCCAGUGAAUGGGUUUGGGCUUCUUUUCGAUGACGAACCUGAUCAUUCCCCCGAUGAAUAGUUACAACGAUGUUACUUUUUCUGAUUGGUCUGUUUUAAGUUUUAAUGUCUGAGGGAUCAAUUCGGUGGUUAAAGGGAAUGGUAUUCAUUGCGUCAUUAGGGAUUCCAGAUGUGAUAUUGUCUGCUUGCAGGAGACAAAGAAGUAAUCGUUUGACAGGGCUGACCUCAUAAAGUUUUGUCCCAAUUUCUUUGAUGCGUUCGCUUUUGUUCCCUCGGUGGAAAAUUCGGGUAGUUUCAUUACUGUUUGGAAUAGCUCAAAGUUGGUGGGCACUAUUAUUUACCAGAAUGAUUAUGCUCUAUCGGUUGAAUUUUCUGCUAAUUCGUCUAACGAAUCCUGGAUUGUCACCAAUAUUUAUGCGCCCUGUACUCCGCAUGGGAAAAUUGAAUUCUUCAACUGGUUCUCCAAUAUAAAUAUGCCUUCGGAAAAACUCUGGCUGAUUGUUGGGGACUUUAAUCUUAUUCGUAGGCCUGAAAACAGAAACAUCGCGGGGGGACCUUAACCUGAUGUUGAAAUUUAAUGAGGCCAUUAGUAAGCUUGAUCUGAUGGAAAUCCUCCUCCAUGGUCUUUCCUUUACUUGGUCGAACAGGCAAAGUGAGCCCCUCCUCUAGAGACUCGAUUGGUUUUUUAUCUCGCAAAAAUGGUCAGUUUUUUACCCCAACACCCACGCAACGACGCUGUCUAGGGAUUUCUUUGACCACGUUCCUUGUCUGAUUUCUUUCAAGUCAAAGGUCCACAAGCCUAAGAUCUUUAGGUUCGAAAACUUCUGGCCACAAUUUGAGGGGUUUAUGACUGUCUUUCAAAAUUCUUGGACUGGUCAGCCAACUCUUUCAGACAAAGCGAAGAACUUACCAGCAAAAUUCAAGUACACCAGAAAGAUCCUCAAAAAGUGGUAGCGGUCUCUGCCAAAUAUUGAUAAAACAGUUAGGCAAAUUAAGGUGCUUAUUGAGUUCAUUGACAUUAUUGAGGAGCAUCACGACCUUUCGAUUGAAGAAUGGAAUUUUCGGGAGCUAUUGCAAACCAAAAAUGCUGACCUGCUUCAAAUUCAGAAAAUUUAUUGGAAGCAACGGGCUUCCAUCAAAUGGGUCACCGAUGGAGAUAUUUGCUCUAGAUUUUUUUCAUGCUCAUGCAACGGUAAAGCAUAUGCGUAAUUCGAUUGCGCUGCUCUCUGAUGACAGUGGAUCAAUCUUUUCAGAUCACGACCUUAAAGCUAACCUUCUGUGGAAUGUCUUCAAAUGUCGUUUAGGUUCUUCUGACUUUUCGAAAAAUGUUUUUGAUCUCUCAGGUCUGAUAAUGUUGCAAGAAGGCUUGCAUUGGUUGGAUGAGCCUUUCUCAAAGCAAGAAAUUGAUAGCAUUGUUGCAGCUCUCCCCUCGGACAAAUCACUGGGGCCUGAUGGGUUUAAUACCAAUUUUAUCAAAAAGUGCUGGUCGGUCAUUUCUCAGGAUUUCUACGACUUAUGUGAGCAAUUUUAUCAUGGGGAUGUCUGCCUUCAAAGUAUUAAUGGUUCCUUUAUUGUUCUGAUUCCGAAGAAGGAAAAUGUUCAAUUAGUGGGAGAUUUUAGGCCAAUUUCGCUACUAAAUAAUAGUAUGAAGAUCAUCACUAAGCUACUGGCCAAUCGAUUACAGACAGUGAUGACCUCCCCUGUUUAUAAGAAUCAAUAUGGCUUCAUCAAAGGAAGAACCAUUCAGGACUGCCUGGCUUGGGCUUUUGAAUAUAUCCAUUUAUGUCAUGCCUCCAAAAAAUAGAUCAUCGUGCUCAAGUUGGAUUUCGAAAAGGCAUUUGACACAGUUGAGCAUGAUCUGAUUCUCUAGGUGCUGUCUCACAGAGGAUUUGGGCCCAAAUGGCUGGGCUAGGUUAGGGAUAUCCUCCAGUCUGGCACGUCUUCGGUCCUCCUCAAUGGUGUCCCAGGCAAAACUUUCCAUUGCAAGCGUGGGGUAAGACAAGGAGACCCCCUCUCGUCUCUUUUAUUUGUUCUAGCGGCAGAUCUGCUUCAAAGUAUGAUCAAUAAAGCGAGACAGCAAGGCCUUCUCCAGCUACCCCUCACUGAGAAUUGUGGUCAAGAUUUCCCGAUUGUCCAAUAUGCUGAUGACACAUUAUUGAUAUUGGAAGCUUGCCCCAUGCAAUUAUUUUUCCUCAGAGCAGUUCUAAACUCUUUUGCUACCUCGACGGGACUCAAAGUGAAUUAUAAUAAAUCAAGUAUGUACCCAAUCAAUGUUUGCCCGGCAAAGUUGGAGAUCCUAGCCAUAACACUCAACUGUCAGACAGGGUCAAUGCCCUUCAUCUACCUUGGUGUCCCUCUAGGCCUGUCAAAACCUAGAAUCUGUUACUUUUUACCGCUUAUCCAAAGGAUUGAAAGGAGAUUGUCAUGUACUUCUGCUCUCCUUUCCCAGGCCGGAAGGUUGGAGUUAGUUAACUCUAUUUUCUCAGCUCGUCCGACUUUCCUGAUGUGCACUCUGAAAAUUCCUGCCGCCACUGUCAAGAUGAUAGAUGUUUUUCCGGAGGCAUUGUCUCUGGAGAGGGAACGAUGUGAACUCAAACAGAUCAGCUCUUGCUGCUCAGUGCAUGAUUACUCAGCCAAAGAGCAAUGGGGGCCUUGGAGUGGUCAGAUUGGAGACACACAACAAGGCCUUGCUUUUGAAAUCUGUGCACAAGUUCUUCAAUAAUCAUGACUUACCUUGGGUAAACCUUGUUUGGAGCAACUAUUACAGGACAGACAGACUCCCUAGUUGUUCAAGGAUUGGCUCCUUUUGGUGGAAAAGUCUGCUUAGUCUAGCCCAAGACUUCAAGGGAUUGGCAGCCCCAAACAUUGGCAAUGGGAGAACUAUUCUUUUCUGGGGAGACCUGUGGAAUAAGGGCAUCCCGACUCAGCAAUAUCCGGAAUUAUUCUCCUUUGCUUGCAACAGCAAACUCUCUAUCAAUGAAGCUAAGCAAAAUGGCCACCUCUUUGAGAUUUUUCAGCUUCCUCUGUCUGAGCAAGCCUAUGAACAGUAUCUUGAAUUAAAUGAGGCUUGGGGCCAAAUCACGGUAACCGACGCAAAGGACACCUGGAAGCUCAUUCGGGGAUCUGAAAAUUUCUCUACGAAAAAGACUUACAAGCAUUUGAUGGGUCAGACUCAAGUUCAUCAGAUUUUCAGAUUGCUUUGGAAAAAUAAAUCUCAACCAAAACAUAAAGUCUUUUUUUGGCUAUGGUUAAAAAACAGACUCAACACGAGGAAUAUGCUAAGGAGGAAAAACAUGGCGUUUGAGUCUUACACCUGUGAGAACUACAUCUGGCAGAAGGAAGAAACUCUUUAUCAUCUAUUCCUCAGGUGCAACUUCGCGGAGGCUUGCUGGAAUUCAAUCGGUUUGAUACCCCCUAGAAUUGCUAAUCCAGAGGCGACUGCGGCAAAUCUAAAACUGCAACUCGAUGUUCCCUUCUCUAUGGAGAUCAUUAUUCUCAUGAUCUGGAGCAUUUGGAAGUGUCGUAAUGCUUGGCUUUUCAAGAGGGUUCAAGAGGGUUUUAAGAUAUCAAUUUUGAAAAUAAUACUUUUCCCCCUUUUGAACAUAAUGAGAUACCAAUUUGAAAAUCAUAUUUAAAAUUAGAGGUGGUAGAUCGUUCCUUGGAGUCGUUCCUGUGCGAGGUCGUAGAUCGUCGGCCCUGUGCCGCGGACCAUCCACGCCUCCGCAGAUAGCACCAACAGGCGACCCGUUCCAGUAUUUGGUGCCCAGAUUGGCGCCAACACCAUCAAUACAUAUAAAUAUAGACAACAUAUUCAUUUGGCCUUAACCUAUACCAAUUUCUACUAAUUCUAUAAGGGCUGAUUUGGUGACCAGGGAUCACGGGAGGAUCAAUCCCUUCCAAUCCUCCCGUGACCUCCUUGUCACCAAAUUAACCCUAAUGUUUUGUGUAUAUGGACUGCGGCUGCAGCAGUCUGAACAACUGACUUUAAUACGAAGCGAACAACCUAAGAAAAUAAAGCCAGAGGAGAGUGAAUGAUUUUGGAAGCUAAAUAUAAUUUUGUAUCAGGAACAUCUCCAACAGGAGCCCUAAAUAGAGUUUAUUUUAAAAUAUUGGACUCUAACACAUCAAAAUCCUACCCCAAAUAGGGGUCCUAUUUGACAAAAAAAUAAUCAAAUCAUUAUUAGUGUGUUUGGUUUGAGGAAUGAAAUGAUCCAUCUUCUUCUCACUCCUCACUUUUUAAUUUGGUUUGUGGAAUUGAAUGGGUUGAUCCAUCAUCACCUCAUUCCUCAUAAGCUAAUAAUUAGUAUAUACAUGAGGAGUGAGUUGAUUCCACCAAAAUUGAUGGAAUGAACUUAUGAUACAUCACCUCAUGAAACAUAGAGUGACUCCACAAACCAAACACAUCAUAUAUGUCUCAUUCUCUCAAAUCCUAAAUAUAGGAUCUCAUAUGUUGGAACACUGUUCUCAUUUUACACAUCAUUCCUAACCUUUUUCUGUAUAAUAUGAUCUAUUUUAUAAUAAACUCAAAUUUUGCAGCAUUGGAACCACGUGCUUGGAAAAAUGAAUUUUGCUGCCUUCCAAUUUCCCCGCCUUUGGAGCGACGAAAUGAGCUCCAAUCAAAUUUCGAACUGAAACCAAAACCUUCAAAAAAAAAACGAAACGCUGCAACACUCCACAGUUCCACACCGAGCGCUAUUUCCAAGUCGAGCUCCCGGGUUUGGAGUCCUAGUAAAUCGGGACCCACGUAUCAGCGAAAUCGUUCAAAUUGAGGCCAGGUCACAUUCGCUCGGACACGACCCCGAAAAUUUCAAACCAGUGUAGCCAACUCUUCGAUCCCGCCCGCGCAGCCACCCAUUCACUGACGUUGUGGCCCCACAUGUCUCAGAAUACGGAUACCAGGGCGCGUCAUUUUUCCAGCUGUUUGCCCUGUUUAUUUCCUUUCAUCCAUCUCCGUAUGGACCGUAUCCCUGUCUCUCUCUCUUCUCCCCCUCCCCCCCAAUCUCCGAGGCGAGCUCGAGCUCCCAAACCCUAGGCCUCACUGGGGAGUCACCUCCGCCACUCCAGCGAUGUCUCUCGCCGCAGCGGCUUGACGGUGCCUGCCCCCAAAUCUACCUCUCCGUUAGAGAGCGCGGCGUGGUUGCUGCGUGAGGCGCACCGGGGUCUGCAAAUGGAGCCGAGGCGCAUAUCGGCGAGCCCGCGCCCAUGCAGCGGGCGGCGGGUAGUGGCCAGGAAGAGGCCGAGGCAGGAGGCGGUGGUGAGCAGUGUGCGGAAGCUGCAGCGCCGGGAGAUCAGCUCCCGCCGCGACCGCACCUUCACCAUGAGCGCCGCGCAGGAGCGCUUCCGCAACAUACAGCUGCAGGUUUGCCCCUAGCCUGGUUAUCAUUAUCUCAAGCGUCAGUUAGAUCCUUUUUGUAUUCCCCCGCGUCGUGGUUAGCAUCCAGUUCUUGCUGUGAGAAAUUACGGGUCGGGGUGUGCUCACUGUCACUGGCCUAGCUUAGAGUCAGCCGGCCGAUUUACUUGAGAUCUGUUUAGCAUGCUUUGGAUUCUUGUUGGUAACUGUGAGUGGAUCUCAGUGUUGAUCGGCAUGCCCGAUGAGAGGUAAAGAUUGUCUGAUACGGGUGCUGUGGCUUAUAUAGCAAUGUCUGUUUGAGGACUGGCCAAAUUUAAUCUUCAGCUGUGCGACUGUGUGCGUCGGACCUCUAUUUGCCUUCGCACUGGCCUGCUUAGUUAUUUGUACGGUUCUAGGUUUGUUCAGUCUGGGGCACUUCUUUUUAUAUAUGUAUAUAUUUUAUUUUGGGGGCACAUUGUGCGCUGAAAUGCUGAUGUUUGAGAUUUUCGGAACCUGAUAAUCUAGGAUUGUUUGAAUCUGCUUAUCCGCAAUAGGCUAUAGCUAAUGCCAGUAACAAUUCUCUGCUGUGAUCUCUAUGCUGCCAAGUUGGGUCGGUGCUCCACGAGCUGGAAUCAGCUGCUAACCAAGUAACUGAUUGUCACCUCUGUGCCCCUUUAUAUCUUUGUUCUAUUGUAUGAUUUUGCCAAUCUUGUCUCGUAUUUCUGAGUAUGAAUUUAUUACUUCUUAUUUUGCACUCAAAGAAGAGCAAGGAUGCCUUCCUAGUUUGAAUAACUAGGCUUGUGUUAUCAUUGGUACUCCAAUGCUCAAACACAAUCAUUUUGUGGCAGGAAACCACAGUAUUAGAGCUGUCAACCUUCACGCUAUCUGUCGUUUUGUCACUGUUUGUGCAGCAAUGAGUUUAUCUCAAAUUCUGUUUUUUGUGGUGACAUCGGUUGACUGCACUUUAAGUGUCUGAUAAAGCAUCUUUGCUGUCACUUGUAGGAAGAGUUUGACACUCAUGAUCCAAAGGAGAACGCUUCACUACUCCCUUACUUGAGGAAAAGGUCAAAAAUCAUUGAGAUAGUUGCAGCGCGUGAUAUAGUCUUUGCUUUAUCACAGUCAGGAGUAUGUGCUGCUUUUAGUAGAGGUAUGGUAUUCUUGCCUUCUUGCAAUCCGUUCUGCUUCCUUGGGCUUUCCUGAGAUUCUCCUUCUAUAUUUCCAGAGACAAAUCGGAGAAUAUGCUUUCUGAAUGGAAGUCCAGAUGAAGUUAUCCGCAGUUUAUUUUACAACAAGAAUAAUGAUUCACUCAUUACUGUAUCAGUAUAUGGUUCUGAAAACUUCAGUGCUCUGCGAUGCAGAACAACUCGAAUAGAGUAUGCUUUGUCAAUGCAAUUGUUUUUUUAUCACGUCAUCUUUCUUAAAUUUCCCCAACCAUUCAAGGUACGUUCGGCGAGGACAACCGGAUGCUGGUUUCCCUCUUUUUGAGUCCGAGUCCUUGAAAUGGCCUGGAUUUGUAGAGUUUGACGAUGUCAAUGGAAGGGUUUUGACUUACUCUGCUCAAGACAGGUAUGCUGAGUUGACUUUGGUAAUGGCUAAAAUAAAUUGAAUCUUCUGUGAAUCUGUUCUGAUUCCAUCUUAUCCACAAACAGCACUUACAAGGUGUUUGAUUUGAAAAACUACACAUUACUGUAUUUGGUGUCUGAUAAGAAUGUUCAAGAAAUAAAGAUCAGGUAAUUUGGUGUUUCCUUCUUCCUGUGUGUUACUGUAUCCGAUACUCUUGGUGCUUUUUUCCACUUUUAUUUAUGUGCAGUAAAUUGAUAAGCCAUGUCUCUUAUCAUAUGCUAUAGCGGUGACAGGUUUAGCAUUUAGGGGAUGUUUGGAUCUGGGGCUAAAAAUUAGCCCAUAUUGUGACAAUGGGCUAAACAUGCUCUGAUAAGAGCUAAUGGGCCUAACCACCGAUUAGCCUCCACUUGCUCUUAUCCGCCCAUACUUAGCCCAUGUUGAUCACUGCAUCCAGAUUUUGAAACACAGGGCUAGUUGUGUACUUGUUAGCCCAUGGCAUCCAAGCACCCAUUAGACAUAAUGAAGGAGUCAUUUGAUUAUGGGAUAUGAUAUAUAUCUAGCUCAUGUACUUUCAGCUUAAAAUAUUUUAUUUGAUUCUUCAGUUGGUUGUACAUCUUUGCAAUCUGCAUUUGUCAAAUCUGUAAUUAUCUGGUUUGUUGUGACAGCCCUGGGAUAAUGCUAUUGAUUUAUGCAAGAACAAGCAGCUCGGUUCCUCUGAAGAUUCUUUCCAUUGAUGAUGGUACAGUCUUGAAGUCCUUCAGCCACCUCCUCCAUCGUAACAAGAAGGUAGAUUUUAUUGAGCAGUUCAAUGAAAAGCUUCUGGUCAAGCAGGAAGGAGAGAACCUCCAAAUUCUUGAUGUAAGCAUUAUACCUAAUUCAACCAAACAAAGAAUAUUUGCUUCGUUAUUAAGGGUUUUAACCCUGAACUCACUUGUGCACCUAAUAUCUAGGUAAGGAACUUCCAAUUGACAGAAGUGAGCAGAACUGAGUUUAUGACUCCAUCCGCCUUUAUUUUUCUACAUGAGCUGCAACUGUUCUUGACAUUCCGGAAUCGAGCAGUAUCAGUUUGGAACUUUCGAGGUGAACUGGUCACGUCAUUUGAAGAUCACCUGUUGUGGCACCCCGACUGCAACACAAACAACAUAUACAUCACAAGCGAUCAAGAUCUUAUUAUCUCGUACUGCAAGGCUGACUCAACUGAUUCAACUUCAGAAGAAAAUGGUGAGCAUAAUUUUUUUAAUGUAUAUUGUUCGGCUCCUCAUGUAUUUUUUAUUGCAACGCCUGUUGCAGGUCUCCUGGUUAUCUUCUUUUGGUUUUUCUUCACUGCCAGCUAGAUCGUGUUUCAUCUUUCAUGCGCUUCUAAGAGCAAAUCAUUUAGCUAAAACCGUCGUUGGUCGCCUGAUCACAUAGCUCAUGAUGCAUGUUUCGUUCUGAGAUGGAUUUUGUUCAGUUCGAUAAAUUGGUCAAUUGUUUUGGAUGGAGUUCACUGUAGUCUAUUCACUUUGGUGUGAUGUACAUAAAAUGGCACAUGCAGCAUGGUGCUCACUACUUUGAUUUUUUUUUAAAAAAAAAACUUACAAACAUAGUGCCUAGUAUAUCGCCGGAACUUGUUUUUAAAAAUUGCGUUUGAAGAUAAACAGUUGAGCAUGGAACUGCAUUUCUCGUGCCGGUGCCUUAGAAAUUUAUCGAACGCUAACACCUCUUUCCUGUAACGCAGCUGGCUCUAUAAACAUAAGCAGCAUACUGUCCGGGAAAUGCCUGGCAAAAAUAAACACUGGAAACUCCAAUGCUUGCAAGGAAAGAAAGAAGGCGUGGAAGUUCCGGAACACAGUCUCGGAGGCCCUUGAGGACAUCACGGCUCUGUACUACGACGAGGAUCGCGACGAGAUCUACACUGGCAACCGGCACGGCCUUGUCCAUGUGUGGUCGAGCUGAAAGCUGAAACUGCGGGGCGGCUUUCAACCGUAGCACGGUGAUCUGGUCUUCACCUGUGCGCGUAUUAACAGCUACUAGUGCCUCACGUGGCACGGGGGUGGGGGGCACGAAAGAGGGACCCCCCAAGCCACUCAAGUGACAGUUCUUAUUUAUCUCAGCAUGCCAAGAGCACUGUCCAUCAUUCUGAAAUCAGAGGCCCCCCAGAUCUGUUGUAACGGACGUACCUUGCAAGUAAUGAAAUCCAUUCGUUGAUCUGAAAUGCUCUCGCUGUUUAUAUCUAAUAUAUGUAUGUUCAGAAAUGUUGAAUCCCAUACUUGUGACGGCGCUCAUCGUCACUGGAGAGGAGAGGAGAGGAUGCUGCUCCUUGGAGAGAAGUACUGAAAAAAAACAAUGCUCAAGCACAACUCAAGCCUUGGUUGAAGCGCUGGCUGACUAGGGAGGAGCGACGGUCAACAGGUAUGAUCCUCGUUUGCAACACGGGAACUGGAGCGCUGGCUGGGCCUGCGCGUAUGUAUGCUAAUGGAACUCCUGUGCGUGCUAAACGAACGCUGAAACUCUGAUUCCUGUGGCCACCCACUACGUGCAAUGCGCUGCACGCCUGCGCCACCUCACGGCCGCCCCCGCAUGGCACGGUUGGGCUUUCGGCGUUCGGAAUUUCAACGCGCACCACUAGCAAGCAGACUAGCUAUUAGCUUGGAGCAAGCAACUGGACUGGACUACUACACGAGAGCGAGUGAUCAAGUGCUGAGCCGACCAGGGAUGGAUGGCGACUGGAAAAGGAGCACGACACCGAACCGUUUGCUUCGCGUGCCGGCCAGAUGGUUAGGAUUUUUUUUGGGCCCGGGCAGUGGAGAUGCUUGGCCCGGAACGGAUCCACCGUGCAGUCUCAGUCUCGCUCUCGCCACUCCAUCAUGGUAGCAUGUAUGUAUGCACAGGGGAUCAACUCAUGAAGUGGGGGACAGACAAACGUGACGCUCGAGCUCAAGCCCAAGCGCCAAGCAUGCCCCUCUCCUAGUCUCCUUUAUGGACUGGAUUUGAACCGACAGAGCAACACUGUCCAAGUGAUUUUUGUUGGCAUGCCAACCUUUUCUUCUGAACCAAAAAAACAGCUGAUUUUCCCAGCGCAGUGCAGACUGCGCAUGAGAAAAUGCAUAUAGUGGGGAAUUAAAAAAACCAGGGGGGAAAACAAAGAGACAUGGGAAUUGUCCUACUCUAACCUCUUUUUUUUGUUCCUUUUUUUGGGGAAGAAUUUACACUUUGCUCCCUCAUUACAAGGUGCGUGGUUUUACUGAACCACACGCACACGCCAUGAGGAGUUUCAAUCCACGUUCACAUCCUAAUUGACCCCAGUUAAUCGGCUUUGGUAUCAAAGACACAAGGGAACGAAAAAUACAGCAGCCUGGAGAGCAAUCGUUGUGCUCCCGGGUCCAAACAAUUGGGUUUGGGGGUGCUAAAGAAGGGGAAACAAAGCACCCACGGCAAUGGAACGGCACGGCGGGCCGGGCGGUAUACAGGCUCCGCUAGGAGGACCAGCUCCUGAGCAGCGACGGCUUGCCGAACAUCUGGUCGAGCGCGAGGACGACGGCCAUGGCCAGCGACACCUCCAUCCCGGGCUGCACCACCAGCCGGAACACGUCCGAGCCCACGGCCUCCUUGGGGCGCACCUCCGCCACGGCCCGCCGCCGCUCGUCGUACACCGUGCAGCGCCGCCGCAGGUACGACCCCUCCACCUCGUACCCGCCGCCGCCGGCGCCGGCGCCUCCAGAGCUAGCCGCGACGUGCGCCAUGGACUUGGCGCCGCCGCCGCCGCCGCGCAUGUACUGCGCCGCCGGCCGCUUGACGGCGUAGAGCGGGGGCAGGCGCCGGGCCUCCUCGCCCGGGUACACCAGCCACUGGUCGGCGCCCAGCCCGAGGCCGAUCGGCCUCUGCCUGCGGCGGACGGUGAGCACGGGGCGGCCCGCGGCGUCCAUGAGCACCACCUCCGCGCGGGAGUCGGAGGCGUAGGUGUCCACGCGGUACACGAGGUCGCCGCGGGCGUCGAACACCGUGAACCCCCUGCAGUUGAACAGCAGCGACUUGCGCCACACCGUUAGGGUCACCGGCUCCUCGUCGGCCGGCGGCGACACCGCCACCGCCACCGCCGCCGGCUGCCCGAGCCCGACAGACGGCACGGCCACGUUCGGGUGUACCUUCGCCGUCAUGCUUAGAUCGGCAGAUUGGUGUUUCAAGAUUUAAGAAUGGUGGGCAGAUGGGAAGGCGGAGGCUAGCUAGAGAGAGAGAGAGAGGGAGGGAGAGGGGAGGAAUCGCAGCUUAUGACUGUGUCUCGGCCGGCCUGAGAACGAAAUGGGUGGACGUGAGCAGUAUAUAUACAGUCUCCAUGGACGGGAAUGCCCCUGCAUCAUUAGGGCAUGUACAAUGUAGAUACCACGACACGGUUCUCCAAGUAUAAAACACACCUAAGACACAGUUCAGUACAAAGGGACGUAUCUAAAGUCUUACAUCUUAAUUAAUGUUUCAAAUUCAUCGUAUUAAAUGGUGACUGAUCCAUUGUGCACAUGUAUUGCGCAUACACUGCAGGUUCACACCGUUGUUUCUGACUUUAUACUGCUGUUCAGAGUAGCGCAUUGCUGAAAAAACUGAACCUCUGAACCUCUAAAACUGAAUUACUCACUUUGCUGAAUAAACUGAUGAGAAUCUAGACAACAGUUUCAGAAUGCUACAUUAUUUUCAAAGUAGUGCUUAAGAUGCAGAUAUGGUAAAAUCAAAGGGGUAAACUAGAGAAGUUGCUUUGGCAUGUUGUGGGAAAAAAGAAAUGAUGUUACAGUUCACAUUCAGGUGCAGAAAAUUAAGGUAACGAGAGAGCCCAGAGGUCUGCAGAGGCUAAUGAAAAUGCAUCAGAGAAUAGUGAAAAUGUAUUCAGACACAGAUAAUAAUUAAAACCAAUAAUUAGAUGUAUCACAUAGAGGUUUCAACAUAAAUGUAUCACAUAGCUGAUAAAUUUUGCAAUAUGAAACAUACAUAUAUGAUUGAUCUAAUGUCCACCGUAUCGUUGCCAUAUAUGUUCAACUAAAUCAUUUUUGAGCUCGAUGUGCUUUGAGCGGUCCCUAAUCUCUGCAUUUCGUCGAAGUACAUCUGCAAAACAUGGAUUAGCUUGAUUGCUCACUUCUGGUGGUAAAGCGAUAGAUGCUCCAGGAUUCUCAUUCAAAUCCAAAGGGAUCAUAGCCAUUUCCUUUUCAUCUUCAACUAUCAUGUUGUGUAAGAUAACACAUGCUUGCAUUAUAUUUACUACAUCUUUCCUUUUCCAUAGGCGUGCUGGUCGUCGAACGAUAUUAAAUCUGGACUGCAACACGCCAAAUGCACACUCUACAUCUUUCCUUACACUCUCUUGACGACUUGCAAAACACUUAUCUUAAUGCAUUUGUAGUUCACCGAGAGAUAUAUAUAGCUUAGUUCACUUCUCAGGUUCUCACAAACUUCUCAGGUUCACACUUGACAUCUCAGGUUCACACAAAGUUCUCAGGUUCACACUUGACUUCUGAGGUUCACACUUGUGCGUUGCAGCACCAGCCAGCAGGAGUUCACAUUGACACAAGUAAACUGAUAGUUCACAUUACGUUGACACAAGUAAACUGACACAUGACAAAUUCAUAUAAUAAUUAAAAUCGAUGUCUCACAUGCCUGUCUCACAUUCCAGUUUCACACAGACAUGACAAAUUCAGAUAAUAAUAAAAACAAGACACUGUCUCACAUUCCAGUUUCACACAGACAUGACAAAUUCAGAUAAUAAUAAAAACAAGACAUUAGAACUGGAACAAGACACUACUAAGAAUGUGGAAAUAAUUUUUUUCUCAAACUUUUGAGUGCAGCAAUGUGUUCAGCUCGAAUUUCAUCAGGCAUUGCAGACAUGUCUUGCUUGAGGAGACAAGAGUAAGUUUCUAGCAUCUUGGACUCUUUUUCCAGCAUCUUGGACUCUUUUUCCAACAACUUUGCUUCCUUCUCAUCCUUUGCUGCUUGCAGAGAUAAUUUUGAUGCCUCAAUCUUGUCAUUGCUUAUCUUUUGUUGCAUUUCAAGAACCUUCAUACGAUUGGCAUGGCAACCAUUUUGAAUCUUUUCAAAUCUGUCCAGCUCAUCAACUCGGCGUUCUUUCCCUUUUGCCUCAAAAACAGCCUUCUUAGCAACCUUCCCAUUUGCCUCAAAAGCAGCCUUCUUAGCAGCCUUCUGUCCAAUGGGUCUAGGGAGCUCGAUAUCUUCGCCUUCAUCUACUAUUGGGUUGCUGUUGUCCAUCUCCUUCCUUUUAUUUUGGUUGCUGCGGUCAUUAUAAGAUAACCAUUUUGCCUCAUUACGAACCAUGUUCCAAACAUCCAUAAACACAAAAUGAGACCCAUUGUUUUCUUCCUCAUAGAACUUGUGAGCUUUAUCAAUCCACAUCUGGUCUGAAUACCCACUAGUGUAUAUAUUCCUAGCUUUCAACCAACAAUCAUUGAAUAGGUUUGUCCACCUAUUUAACUUGUGCCACCUCUCCUUUACCUGAGUUUUAGUCCUCCAUCUAGGUUUCUCAGUAGUAAGAUUGUACUCCUUCGAUACGUCCUCCCAGUAUUUAUCUCCUUUUUUAUUGUUUCCACUCAAUGAGUCGAUGGAAUGCUUCAACCAAGCACUCGUCUACAUAGAACACAAUCAAGACACAGUUCAGUCAUUCACCUAAAAUAAAACUGUUAAUGAUGCUAACACAAGUUCAGCUAAUGACAUACCACUCUAACAUUUUCAUCUGUUUUCCAAAUUAGUCGAGUAUCCUUCCUAACUUCUUCAUUUUUUCCAUCGAUCUGAAUGACAUGAGAUGUUGUUCCAACAAAAUGAGAGUUCUCGGGGAGGUUUCGUUGUUGAUCAUCCACCAUGUAAUGCAUGAAACUGUUAGAACUGAACAAAAGGGAGUAUUAGCCAAAAUCUGUAAUUUGCAAACUGUAAAAGAUAACUGGUGCAGUGAUUACAUAUAGUUCAAUGAAUUUUGUUGCAGACAUAUAUUUUCAUCAAGAUUGAAUAAUGUUGUCUAUAUUAUAUAAGGUAGUAUAGUACUCAAAUAAAAAGGCAAAGAACCUGCAGGAUUUCUCAAAAGAUAUGGUAGUAUUUACUUAUAUGGCAAACCUGUCCAUUAACGAUAUAGAAUUCAUUGUUGUUGCUACAUCAAUUGCAAGAAUAGAUCUACGACUUAACCAAUUGCAAGAACAGAUAUAUGGGAUCAAAGAAAUUUGCAAAGAAUAGAUUACUGUGUGCUAAGAACAGACCUACAAGAUCAGUUGCAAGCACAGACCUACGAGAUCAAAGGAACUCUAGCUGAAUCUACGUGAUAUUUACAGGAAUGUUACCUUUCAAGCAGAUCCAUGAAUGUGUGGCUUGCCGGGGAUGGUACACGUGCUGGGGCGGCGAAUGGACGGCGGGCGCCACCGGUGAAGUGUGCGCCGGCAGGGGAGGGGGUUCGGGAGGGGAUGUUGUUGCCAGCAGCAAGGGGAACGUGAAUGGGGAAUCUCGCGGUGGGGGAGGGCAUCUGGAGGGCAUCUAGAAGAGAGGGGUAACGGCAGUCGGACGGGGAGCCGGAAGGGAUGGCGGCGGCGGCGGCCGGGCGACGAACGGGAGAACCUGUUUUUUUCUGAUUCAUGGCAAAACGGAUGGACAAGACUAGUGAUGCAAAAGUGAUGACCAAACAGAUGAACGGGAGCACCGGAUGCCGAAGAGACGACCGGCGUCGUACAACGGAGCGACGACAUCGUAUCUUUGCCUCGAGCCAUGCGCGAGGAACGGUGGCUUCGCCAAGGAUCGAGUCUUCGGAAAUUUUACAGUUACCUCCCUAGACACGGUAUAAGACACGUCGUAUUAAACAGCGUUGUACAUGCCCUUAGGUUGGGUUGGAGGGGUUAUGUGGCAGAUGGCUCUCACGUGUACCGGCGCAGGGGAUGAGAUUAAUAACCAUAUAUUCCACCCGAAUAAUGCUCUGCCCACUUUUAUCUAGAGUUUAAACUAAACAUGAAGCUUUGGACAACCGAGACACAUUUUAUACUCACUCUCUCAUGUAAACAUGAAUCUUAUUAGAUGGGAAGGGCGUGCAAGAGAAGCCAUCGUUUGAUGGUUGAGGAGGAGCGCGAGCGUCCAAAGGGCUGUUAAUUAGCCUUACGAAUCUGAUGCAUUUGGUCACUCCUAAGGGCUGUUAAUUAGCCUUAUUAGAAUAAUCUAUAAUUGCUGCGUUUGGCAGGCACGGAGCUCUAAUGCUCUACCAAACAACCUCUUAUCGUCCUCUAGAUUGUUCGUUUUAGAUUAAAACCGUCUAUUCAAAUUGUUGCAGCUGCAAUUUAUAAAGCCAAAAUAAUGCAAAAUUCACGACCAUACGAACGAACCCCGAUAUUUCGCAUUUCGCAGUCAACGUCGCUGCUCCAGCGAUUCGGGUGGGUUAAUCGCAACCAGUUCUUUAAGCAAAGUUCGGCCACGUUGCACGCUGCUGUUUGAUACCAACAAAAAACAAGGUGAUUCUAGGCUGCCUCGCCGGUCAAAAACCAUUCCCCGAAACCGACCGGUAGCUAGGAGCGACGCGUGGCGCGAGGUGCGGGGGGCUCGGGUGGCCAGGCUGAGCCGAGCGCUGGGCUGGGGCCGGGCCUGGGGGAGGCGGCCGAGGAGACGCUGCUGCCCCCGCGCCGCCCGCGCUCGUCAGCACCCGGCGUGGGCGGCUGGAGAUUACAAUAAAAACGAUUUAUUAGUGGCCGCCGUGAGGCGAUCAAGCCAGCGGAGAUCUUUAUCUCGGACCAUAGGCAGGAGCGCCAAGCUUAUGGAUUUUACUAAUGCUGUGCGUUAUGUCGUUAUUAGCUGCUGGGUUUAGCAUUAUUCUACAUGUACAAUCUUGUGGUCACGAAGCGAUUGGCGUCUGAGUCUCUCAGGGCGUGUUUGCGACCCUGCACCAAGCUGGCUCGGCCUGCCCUACUGGCCCAGCCCCAGGUUGGCAUGGCCCAGUUGGUGCAAAUCUCUUUGUUUGUGUUGCUGUACAAAAUAAGCUCGGCCCAGGCGAGAACAUGUUUGUGACCCUUACAGACAGCUGGGCUAAGAGGCUAACUGCCCAACUGCCAAACUGGGAAUAUGUUUGGCAGUUGGCUGUGGUCGGCCUGACCCAUAGACAGGAAAUAGAGAUGGACAUUGCUAACAUAAAAAGAGAUGCACAUUGCUGACAGAAAAUAGAGGAUUAGAACAACAUAUGUCAAUUGAACAAUACAAGCAUCAACUGAGUUAGCCUCAGACAAAUUUAACUUAACUUCAUCAAUUAUUGUUAUUGCUGGCUACAAGUUACUAUCAAAGAAGCCAUAUCUAUUUUCAUGUGAUCUUCCUCAGAAUAACAUAUCCAUCUGCAACAGGUAGUUGGGCAUCCAUCUGCAACAUAUCCAUCAAAGAAGCCAGGCAAGAUUGACAAUAGCAAUGAUUUUCCUCAGAUAUAAUUGCCAUUUUCAUGUGAUCUUUUAACUUGGAGCAUAAGGAACAUAGCUGGGCAGCCAUGAAACCAUGGUAUUCAUCCAACCCAGCCAUCAAGUCAUCUAUGGUGGAUAACAGUUGCAUUGGGCAUGGAUGUGCCCCAUGGUUCCAUGGCAAUAAUCACAACAUGGUGGAAACAACAUAAUUUUCAGCAUAUGCCCAGUACCUCACAAUUUAAAGAUCAUCCACAUUAACACGGGCAAUAAUGACAACAUGGUUCCAUGGCAAUUAUGUCAUCAUAGGCAUAAAGGAAAGCACAAGUAAACAGGGGCCUCAGCUGCACUACAACACAUCCAAUGCAAAUGCUCCUCAGAUUAGUGUAUAUAGCAUCAUUGGCCAAGUAAAAACUUCAAUCAUAGUAUGAAAUGUUUGAGCCUUACAAUAAAAACUUCAAUCAUAGUAAAAACUUCAAUCAUAGUAAGAAUACAAAUAGUGCCUUACAAUAAGUUUGAGCCCAAUAG